rnacentral:snoRNA from 25 species
GGCCCACAUUGGAGUUGUGUCUUGGCCGCAGCGGUGGCCCUGCCUGCACACUCACGUGGGCCAAGA